rnacentral:rRNA from 1 species
UAACACAUGCAAGUCGAACGUGAAAGUCCUUCGGGGCGAGUAAAGUGGCGCACGGGUGAGUAACGCGUAGAUAAUCUACCCGAUGAUCUGGGAUAACAUUUCGAAAGAGGUGCUAAUACCGGAUAAGCCCACGGAAUCUUUGGAUUCUGCGGGAAAAGGGGGGGACCUUCGGGCCUUCUGUCAUCGGAUGAGUCUGCGUACCAUUAGCUAGUUGGUGGGGUAAGAGCCCACCAAGGCGACGAUGGUUAGCUGGUCUGAGAGGAUGAUCAGCCACACUGGAACUGAGACACGGUCCAGACUCCUACGGGAGGCAGCAGUGGGGAAUUUUGCGCAAUGGGGGAAACCCUGACGCAGCAACGCCGCGUGAGUGAUGAAGGCCUUCGGGUCGUAAAGCUCUGUCAGUGGGAAAGAAAUGUAUUAUGGCUAAUAUCCAUGAUACUUGACGGUACCCACAAAGGAAGCACCGGCUAACUCCGUGCCAGCAGCCGCGGUAAUACGGAGGGUGCAAGCGUUGUUCGGAAUUAUUGGGCGUAAAGCGCGUGUAGGCGGUUUGUUAAGUCUGAUGUGAAAGCCCCGGGCUCAACCUGGGAAGUGCAUUGGAUACUGGCAGACUUGAAUACGGGAGAGGGCAGUGGAAUUCCUAGUGUAGGAGUGAAAUCCGUAGAUAUUAGGAGGAACACCGGUGGCGAAGGCGGCUGCCUGGACCGAUAUUGACGCUGAGACGCGAAAGCGUGGGGAGCAAACAGGAUUAGAUACCCUGGUAGUCCACGCCGUAAACGAUGAGUACUAGGUGUUGCGGGUAUUGACCCCUGCAGUGCCGCAGCUAACGCAUUAAGUACUCCGCCUGGGAAGUACGGUCGCAAGACUAAAACU